GGGCAAUAAAGAAAUAUAUAUAUAUAUAUAUAUAUACAUACAUACAUACAUACAUACAUACAUACACCCAACCACUUAUACAUAUCUUUUGCUAUAAUGACUAUAUAUGUCACUCGAAUACAGAAGUUGUAAUGGGUUAUUUAAUUGAUGUAUGCAUAUGUGUAUACAUAUGUAAUGCACACAUAUAUAAUGCACACAUACACACACAGACCCAGCCAGUGAUUGGACUACUACGAAAUUUUACAAACUACUAAAAAAUAGCACUCAAUUUUCAUUGAAACUAUUUCACAUUGUUAUAAACAUAGAAGCAAUUUUAAAACAAAUAGCCUUUGCCAUAGAUAAGGGUUGGACCACACCGACUGUAAGGUGUCAUGGUUGCAACAUAUGUGUGUUUGUGUAUCUGACCAUAUGAUCGUUCUUUCCAUAUAAUCAUUUACAUAUAUCUAGGAAUAUCUGAAAAGAAUAUUUUACUAAAUACUACAGGUAUCACAUUGAUACUGAACAGUUCUGGAGGUGAAAAACCCCCAAGGCGAACCGAAAAGAAUAGGAGACAAAGAAAUAAGGCCAAGUGCACUGUGCGAUAUUCUGACAGAAACCAAAUUUAUGAAACCAAAUUUCGGACAUCAAAUUUAUGAAAACAUAUUUUUGAAACUAAAUUUAUGAAACCAAAUUUAUGAAUCCAACGAAACCAAAUUAGGAAACUAAUGAAACCACAUUUACGAAACCAAAUUCAGAGCUUACCAAACACAAACGCAAGCACACACUUCUUAUUUUCGGGGACGGACUACAUAGACUGUGAUUGCUACACACCUCGAAUUAAAGUCGAGGACGAACCACAAAUUAAAAAGAAAGCGCAGAUGUAAAUCAUACACCCUCAGAUCAACAUACGCUUCGGGAAACAGAAAAUGCGCGUAUCUUUGUAAUUUUGGCUGGUUAUACUGGUUAUACUCGAGAUUGCUCCAAUCUGGCCAGCACCAAGGAAAAACUAAUCUAAGAGCAUUAGAUUCCUUGGAAUCAAGCAGCGAAUGUAUAUAAAAACAAGGACGGAAAAAAACGGACAAGGUUACAGAAAUAGAGUUGCACAAACAACACCAACUCAACCAGCCCCACAACCGGAAAGGGACAAAGGGCAAAGUAGUUGACCCUGCGGAAUAUGGACACAGGACAUAAAGAUGGGUGAAAUGCCGCUAAGCAUUAUGUAUAUCAUGCUAACGAUUCUAUCAGCUGCAGAAUACGGAUAUUAACAACGUUGAAAAGACCUCCUCCACAACGCACAAUUUGGGGCUUGAGUAUAUCUCAAAGAGAAACGACAAAGUUAGCAAUAGAAAAGGAAGAAAAACCUCACGGUGAAAUAUUCUACAGAUCUCAACUUUACAGCUGACGGUUGUAAGUUCGAAAGAUCUCAAAGAGAGAAGAAUAUAAACAAAGAAAGCAGAACAAUAAGAGCAAGCGUAGUCAAAUAUUCUAAAAGUGAGAAUUUGCCGAGUGAUUUGCUGCAGGAAUUCUUGGUCGAGGAAAGUAACACCAAAAAGAAGCGCAAUGGUUU